UACGUAGGGUCCGAGCGUUGUCCGGAAUUACUGGGCGUAAAGAGCUCGUAGGCGGCUUGUCGCGUCUGCCGUGAAAGUCCGGGGCUCAACUCCGGAUCUGCGGUGGGUACGGGCAGACUAGAGUGAUGUAGGGGAGACUGGAAUUCCUGGUGUAGCGGUGAAAUGCGCAGAUAUCAGGAGGAACACCGAUGGCGAAGGCAGGUCUCUGGGCAUUAACUGACGCUGAGGAGCGAAAGCAUGGGGAGCGAACAGG
rnacentral:rRNA from 1 species